UCGGAUCCAUAUUAAAAUUUGCAGUUAAUACACCAGCCAACCGUAGGUUUUAUUUUUGUGAUUAAAAUGGAUGGAUCAUUUCAUGUUCAAGGGUCAUCCAAGCCCAUCUUCUCAGAAGCUAUAUUCUAUCUAAGCAAGGAGCCCAAUUUCUUAUUCUUUUAAUUUAUUAUCGGGAGGAGUGGCCAAUCCAUAAAAAGCUCAGUUCCUGGAACCUAGAGGCACUCAAAGUCAGGCACCAAUACAACUCCCCAAUUAUUAGUCAGUCCAAGGAAAAGAAAAGAGAACAAAAAUAUACGACGAUGAUGAUGAGGGGAGAGCCGUUGGUGGCGAAGCUGGCUGCGGUUGCUAGGUACGGUGUGCUUCCAGGAGCUAUGGUAGCGGCUCUCAUCUAUUCUCCACCUCGAUAUGGUUCCUCUUCCAAGAACAAUAAAACCCCGAAAUAAGAUCGAAACUCCACCUUGUUUUUUUCUCUCUUUCUCGGGGCAGCUUUGAUGUGUGGAUCCGAGUACAAGCUUUGAUGUGAUUCUGCAUGUAAUAAUCCUCAACUCAGGACCUGGAAUUUGGAUUCUUGAGUAGCUAGUCUGAGUGAAAAGCGUUUGCUAUUUUCCUUUUGUGGAACUUUGAGUUGUAAAUCUUUCUUAAAACUUGCUUACUGUAAACAUUUUUUAGUUAAUCAAUGCUGCCCCAUUUAUUAUAUUCAA